CACCCUACGGGGGGCAGCAGUGGGGAAUAUCGCACAAUGGGGGGAACCCUGAUGCAGCGACGCCGCGUGAAGGAAGAAGUAUUUCGGUAUGUAAACUUCUAUCAGCAGGGAAGAAAAAGGACGGUACCUGACUAAGAAGCCCCGGCUAACUACGUGCCAGCAGCCGCGGUAAUACGUAGGGGGCAAGCGUUAUCCGGAUUUACUGGGUGUAAAGGGAGCGUAGACGGCAGCGCAAGUCUGGAGUGAAAUGCCGGGGCCCAACCCCGGAACUGCUCUGGAAACUGUGAAGCUGGAGUGCAGGCGAG
rnacentral:rRNA from 1 species